CGCCCGCCGAAGACACCCUCGAACUCUGUCUGAAGAUUGUAGUCUGAGUAAAAAUAUAAAUUAUUUAAAACUUUCAACAACGGAUCUCUUGGUUCCGGCAUCGAUGAAGAACGCAGCGAAAUGCGAUACGUAAUGUGAAUUGCAAAUUCAGUGAAUCAUCGAGUCUUUGAACGCACAUUGCG
rnacentral:rRNA from 1 species